GUGAGGAAUAUUGGACAAUGGGCGCAAGCCUGAUCCAGCAAUGCCGCGUGCAGGAAGAAGGCCUUCGGGUUGUAAACUGCUUUUGUACGGAACGAAAAGGCUCUGGUUAAUACCUGGGGCUCAUGACGGUACCGUAAGAAUAAGCACCGGCUAACUACGUGCCAGCAGCCGCGGUAAUACGUAGGGUGCAAGCGUUAAUCGGAAUUACUGGGCGUAAAGCGUGCGCAGGCGGUUUUGUAAGACAGACGUGAAAUCCCCGGGCUCAACCUGGGAAUGGCGCUUGGGACUGCAAGGCUGGAGUGCGGCAGAGGGGGAUGGAAUUCCGCGUGUAGCAGUGAAAUGCGUAGAUAUGCGGAGGAACACCGAUGGCGAAGGCAAUCCCCUGGGCCUGCACUGACGCUCAUGCACGAAAGCGUGGGGAGCAAACAGGAUUAGAUACCCGUGUAGUCC
rnacentral:rRNA from 1 species